CUACAUGAGGGUUUGACAUAAGGUCCUUGUUAAGGGUUGUUGCGUCUGCUGGAACUCACAAACUUUACUGUAGAGAAUUAGAGAUCUCAUAUGAGAAGGCUGUAGAAAUACUCAUUGUGGUAAAUUCCAACAGAAUGAAUCUCCAGACAUUCUUCAAGUAACUGACAUGUCAGCCUAAAAAGACACUGUCCGAGUUGGAGGCCCCCAAAUUCCCUUUUGUUCCAAACCUUUGUGUGAUGGCAGUGGUUUCUCUGAUAUGGUAAACUUUGGUUUCCCUCCAUUUUCUUUCUAAGUGAUCUCUGGAGCCCAGAGGAGUUAGAGACAUGAACUACGACCCCUUGUAUGACUUCCAUAGAUAACAAACCAGGUGCCAGCAUGUUUGACAGUUCCUUUCAUAAACUGAAGUUAAUGAAAGUCGUGAAAAUAAUGGUUACUUUCUGGUGUUGGUAGGAGUUAGGAGAUCUUUGGCUCAACAGAAUAAGCAUGGUUCUUCAUGUUUUUGCUCUAGACAGAAAGCAGCAGGUAUAUCGUAUUUGGACACAAACCUGACUCCCGUUAGAGUGUUGAAGGAUUGCAGGACUCAUAGAGGUACGGGGCAAGUCUAUCUGCUUAUUCAUCCAAUGUUCAAAAAUAAGCUGGUUGAACUCUGUAACUUACAGUUUUGUGAAUUUCCUACAAAACAGCAAGGGCUGUAAAAGGGUUUGGCUAGAAUAUGUGAACUUUUUGUUUCAGUGCCAGUUACUUGGGACGAUUAAAGGAAUGACUCUUGGCCAGAAGACUUGAGUCCCCAAGCUGCCAUGCUCAGCUUGUGUGUUCCCAAGUGGGGCCAAGUGUGGAUUGCUUCCAAAAGGGUAGAAGAGGUGGCCCUUUGGCUUCUUGUUCCAGGGUUCCCGUCCUGUCCACCUGUCCAUGAGAAAAUAUGGAUGAUUUCAGUGGACCCUGGAUGAGCUUGUCGCCUCUGAUUCUCUUCACCAGCUGGA
rnacentral:lncRNA from 1 species